GAGUUUGAUUCUGGCUCAGGAUGAACGCUGGCGGCGUGCUUAACACAUGCAAGUCGAACGGGCGAAUUAUAUCGGAGGUCUUCGGGCCGAAGAGAUAAUAAGCUAGUGGCGGACGGGUGCGUAACGUGUGGGUAAUCUGCCUUUGUCAUAGGAAUAACUGCUUGAAAAAGUAGCUAAUACCAAAUAACAUAUCGUAUAGGCAUCUAUAAGAUAUCAAAGAGAAAUCGGACAAAGAUGAGCCCGCAUCUGAUUAGCUGGUUGGUAGGGUAAAAGCCUACCAAGGCGACGAUCAGUAGCCGGCCUGAGAGGGUGAACGGCCACAUUGGAACUGAGACACGGUCCAAACUCCUACGGGAGGCAGCAGUGGGGAAUAUUGCACAAUGGGGGGAACCCUGAUGCAGCAACGCCGCGUGAGUGAAGAAGGCUUUCGAGUCGUAAAACUCUGUUGUAAGGGAAGAUAA
rnacentral:rRNA from 1 species